rnacentral:rRNA from 1 species
AACGAACGCUGGCGGCAUGCCUAACACAUGCAAGUCGAACGAGACCUUCGGGUCUAGUGGCGCACGGGUGCGUAACGCGUGGGAACCUGCCCUUAGGUUCGGAAUAACUCUCCGAAAGGGGUGCUAAUACCGGAUAAUGUCUUCGGACCAAAGAUUUAUCGCCUUUGGAUGGGCCCGCGUUGGAUUAGCUAGUUGGUAGGGUAAAAGCCUACCAAGGCGACGAUCCAUAGCUGGUCUGAGAGGAUGAUCAGCGACACUGGGACUGAGACACGGCCCAGACUCCUACGGGAGGCAGCAGUGGGGAAUAUUGGACAAUGGGCGAAAGCAUGAUCCAGCAAUGCCGCGUGAGUGAUGAAGGCCUUAGGGUUGUAAAGCUCUUUUACCCGGGAUGAUAAUGACAGUACCGGGAGAAUAAGCUCCGGCUAACUCCGUG